CCCUUAGAUGUUCUGGGCCGCACGCGCGCUACACUGACUGCUCCAACAAGUUACCUGGGCUGACAGGCAUCCGGGAAAUCUUGCAAAGGCAGUCGUGAUGGGGAUAGAUUCUUGUAAUUUUUGAUCUUCAACGAGGAAUUCCUAGUAAACGCAAGUCAUCAGCUUGCAUUGAUUACGUCCCUGCCCUUUGUACACACCGCCCGUCGCAUCUACCGAUUGAAUGGAGAGGCAAAAUCUUCGGACCGUGACGCUUGGGAGUCAAAUCUCGGGCUGUCGUGGGAAGUGGAUUAAACCUUUCUAUUUAGAGGAAGGUAAAGUCGUAACA
rnacentral:rRNA from 1 species